UGGGGAAUAUUGCACAAUGGGCGGAAGCCUGAUGCAGCAACGCCGCGUGCGGGAUGACGGCCUUCGGGUUGUAAACCGCUUUCGCCUGUGACGAAGCGUGAGUGACGGUAAUGGGUAAAGAAGCACCGGCUAACUACGUGCCAGCAGCCGCGGUGAUACGUAGGGUGCGAGCGUUGUCCGGAUUUAUUGGGCGUAAAGGGCUCGUAGGUGGUUGAUCGCGUCGGAAGUGUAAUCUUGGGGCUUAACCCUGAGCGUGCUUUCGAUACGGGUUGACUUGAGGAAGGUAGGGGAGAAUGGAAUUCCUGGUGGAGCGGUGGAAUGCGCAGAUAUCAGGAGGAACACCAGUGGCGAAGGCGGUUCUCUGGGCCUUUCCUGACGCUGAGGAGCGAAAGCGUGGGGAGCGAACAGGCUUAGAUACCCUGGUAGUCCACGCUGUAAACGGUGGGGUACUAGGUGUGGGGGUCCAUUCCACGGGUUCCGUGCCGUAGCUAACGCUUUAAGUACCCCGCCUGGGGGAGUACGGCCGCAAGGCUAAAACUUAAAGGAAUUGAC
rnacentral:rRNA from 1 species